CCUGCCAACCACAGCGGCGCGCGGAACCUUGACGGCCUCUACUCGGCCGCCUUCCCUGGCUUGACCCCGACGGCCACUGCUCGCCCGCCUCCCCUGGCUCGGCUCCGGCGACCUCGCCUGCCCCGGCCGGCGGCCGCCUGGCUCGGUCCUGCCGCCCUCGACGUCACCACACCUGUCCGCCCUUCUCCGCCGACCACACCACCUGGCCCUGCUCCGACGACCGAGCCAAGCCCUACUCCGUUGUCGAAUUCAACCACGCCGUAUAUAGAUUACUGUAAUGGGUAGACUAAGCAAGGCUUCCGAGCCGAAUAUUCGCGUACAAUCUUCUUUUGACACUGAUGAUUCCGGAGGCAAUUUUUUUCCCAAACUUUGCUGAAGAUGAUUCAUACCAUAUUUCCCAGGAUCUAUCGAUGGAUGAUGAUAAUUUUGUUAAAGCUUUGUACGAUUUCAAUGCGACCCAUAAAGUGAAAUGUCUGAAAUGGAAACAUCUGUUGGUGCUAGAAAUCUGGUAGUCUUUGUGUGUGCAGAAAGUUCAUCGGUUCUGUUUGCUUUUGAUGUAUCAUGUACCUGCACAUUGAGAUAGGGAAUGUUCAUUAGCCAGAUAUGUUGAAUGCGAAUUGAAAUGACAGUUUUGUUGAUUUAUA